rfam:Nicotiana attenuata strain TT chromosome 8, whole genome shotgun sequence.
UGGACAGAUUAUUGUAUUGGACUGUAUUCGACUGUAUUCACGGCGUGAAAUAAGGGAUUACACUGUUUUUUGAAACGGAAAGUGAAUCAAUUAACAUAAUAGACUCCU